rnacentral:rRNA from 1 species
UACGGAGGAUGCAAGCGUUAUCCGGAAUCACUGGGCGUAAAGCGUCUGUAGGUGGUUUAUCAAGUCUGCUGUUAAAGCUUGAGGCUUAACCUCAAAAAAGCAGUGGAAACUGAUAGACUAGAGAAUGGUAGGGGCAGAGAGAAUUCUCAGUGUAGCGGUGAAAUGCGUAGAUAUCGGGAAGAACACCAGCGGCGAAAGCGCGCAACUGGGCCAUUACUGACACUGAGGGACGAAAGCUAGGGGAGCGAAUGGG